rnacentral:rRNA from 1 species
GACGAACGCUGGCGGCGUGCCUAAUACAUGCAAGUCGAACGAGAGCGACCGGUGCUUGCACUGGUCAAUCUAGUGGCGAACGGGUGAGUAACACGUGGGUAACCUGCCCAUCAGAGGGGGAUAACAUCCGGAAACGGAUGCUAAAACCGCAUAGGUCUACGAGUCGCAUGGCUUGAAGAGGAAAAGAGGCGCAAGCUUCUGCUGAUGGAUGGACCCGCGGUGCAUUAGCUAGUUGGUGAGGUAACGGCUCACCAAGGCCGUGAUGCAUAGCCGACCUGAGAGGGUGAUCGGCCACAUUGGGACUGAGACACGGCCCAAACUCCUACGGGAGGCAGCAGUAGGGAAUCUUCCGCAAUGGACGCAAGUCUGACGGAGCAACGCCGCGUGAGUGAAGAAGGUUUUCGGAUCGUAAAACUCUGUUGUUAGAGAAGAACAAGUGCUAGAGUAACUGUUAGCGCCUUGACGGUAUCUAACCAGAAAGCCACGGCUAACUACGUG